AUCUUUGCGCAGUGGCAGUAUCGUAGCCCAUGAGGUACAUCCGAGGCGUGAUUAUUGCUGGUUGAAAACUUAACCCAAUACCCCGCCAAAUCUGCUUGAAAUAUUAGCGGGUUUGGCAAUUUUUGACAGUCUCAUAUGGGA